AUGUGGUUUCCUGUGUAUGUCACUUGUUGCCUUUCUCUUGUGGCUUUUAGGAUUCUCUCUUUAUCUUUAAUUCUUGACAUUUUAGUUAUAAUUUGUCUUGGUGUGGGCCUCUUUGGGUUCAUCUUGUUUGGUGCUCUCCCUGCUUCCUGUACCUGGAUAUCUAUUUCCUUCCUUAAGUUAGGAAAGUUUUCAGCUAUUAUUUCUUCAAAUAUGUUCUCUGGCCCUUUGUCUCUCUCUUCUCCUUCUGGGACACCUCUAACACAGAUGUUAGUAUGCUUGAUCUUAUCCCAGGGGUCCCUUAGAUGGUCUUCAUUUUUUUUUAUCCUUUUUUCUUUUUUCUCUUCAGCUUGGGUGAUUUCCUCUAGUCUUUUGUCCAGCUCCCUGACCCAUUCUUCUAUGUCUUCUACUCCACUGUUGAUUCCCUCUAGUGAAUUUUUCAUUUCCAUUAUGGUAUUCUUCAGUUCUGAUUGGUUCUUUUUUAUAUUUUCCAGUUCUUUGUUGACUUUCUCACUGUGUUCAUCUAUUCUUCUCCCAAGAUCACUGAGUAUCCUUAUGACUACCAGUUUGUACUCUUUAUUGGGUAGAUUGUUUAUCUCUGUUUCAUUUAGUUUUUCAUUUAGUUCUAUUAUUUCCUUGUUGAUUUUCUGUCUGGAUGUUCUGUCCAUUGGUGUUAAUGGUGUGUUGAGGUCCCCUACUAUUAUUGUAUUGUUGUUGAUGUCUGCUUUUAGUUCUGUUAAGAGUUGCUUUACAAAUUUUGGUGCUCCUGUGUUGGGUGCGUAUAUAUUUAUAAGUGUUAUGUCUUCUUGGUGGAGAGUCCCUUUUAUCAUUAUAUACUGUCCCUCUUUGUCUUUCUUUAUCUGUUUUGCUUUGAAGUCUACCUUGUCUGAUAUUAGUAUAGCGACACCUGCUUUCUUUUGUUCAUUAUUAGCUUGGAGUAUUGUUCUCCAUCCCUUCACUCUGAGUCUGUGUUUGUCUUUGGGGCUGAGGUGUGUUUCCUGGAGGCAGCAUAUUGUUGGAUCUUGUUCUUUGAUCCAUCCUGCCACUCUGUGUCUUUUGAUUGGGGAGUUCAAUCCAUUUACAUUUAGAGUGAUUAUUGAGAUGUGGGGGCCUACCACUACCAUUUUAUGUCUUGUUUUCCAGUUUUCUUCAAUUUCCUUUGUUUCUCGUCCCAUGGUUUAA
rnacentral:lncRNA from 1 species